UGGUUUCUUUGAAAGCUGAGUGUGGUUAGGCUCUCCCUCUCUUCGAAAUAGCUGCCGCCGUCAUGCUUCAACACAUCAUAAUGUUUCAUCGCCGCCGCCGUCGUUGAGUGAGUCCUGAAUUGUAACCUAACAUCAGAACUCGAAAGGUGAAUCUCUCGGCUUUAUUUGUGAUAUUUUAUUUGUGCGAUUGAAGAAGAAAAUGGGUCAGAUCCCAUACUCAGGCACAUAGUUCUUCCAAAGAAUCUCCUUAAGUCUGAGAUGCACUAUCUCUAUAUAUAUAAAGAGAGAACACGGUCUACAGAUGAUUCACUAUAUUAGAGGUAUGCUAUUCUGAAGCAAGUACUAACAAGAGUUUCAUAAUCAACUUGCUGCACCUUUUAGGACUGCUUUAGAUGUAUUGUAUGUUUUAGUAUCUUUUUAUUUCCGUACUCUUUUUUUAUUGGUUGAUAAAAUCAUAAGGUUUGACUGAAGCAUUGUUCAAUUAAAUGUUGUGGAUCACUGGAUUGGUAUGGCCAAUACAGAUUAGCGAGGACUACUAAUUUCUGCUUAAUUAUGGAUUAGUAGAAUAGAGAGAGGAUACAAACUCAGUACCUUUAACCUAAUUUUUUCCCCCUUAGAGUUAACUCAAAGAAGAAUUCUGAUUUUGGGAGCAGAUAUGAAUGUUCUGCACAUGAAAGAACUUAGAGAAGCAUGUUCAUGUUUACAUAUUUUACAGCAGUUGAACUUGAUUAAUAUAUAUCUUCUCUGUAGUGUCAUUCCCAGUUUGUUGGGACAAGAUGACAAGAUGCAAGUAACUGGGGCUAUUUAUCAUCUUUUCUAAUCCUUACUUUUGUAUUUCUUUUCGAAUAUUCUUUCAUUCGUUUUUUAUAUCCUAUUUUCACAAUUAUCUUAAUCAAAGCUGCAGUUCUUAACUAUGUUGUUGUACAAACAAUGGAACACCACACAUGACACCAAACCUGUUCUUCAAGACCCUGUAAUUAAUCUUCAUCAAUCUCACUAGACCCUGUAAUUUUUAAUUGAGAUUGUGAUUAAUAAUUGCAAGUUUAAAUUGUGAAUUAAUUUGAUUAUUGUUUUUGUUUGUUUUGGUGGUUAUUGAGUUCAGACCCAACUCAAGUUGAACAAGCAGUGUUGGAUUAGUAGUUAUUGUUGCUUAGCCAUUACUCUAUGACUUACUAUUCCAGAGUCCUUGGAGAGGCUAUUGUGAUCCUUUAUUGUAAAGUGAUAUGGACCCUCAUAGUAACCGGCCAGACAAAGGGAAACAAAUCAUUAUAAUAGAGCCAGGAGGAUCAAGAUAGUAGCUGGCCAGAGAAAGGGAAACAAAUCAUGAUAACAAUGAGUUCAUUAUAACAUUUGAUUAAUGAUUCAUAAUUAUGUUAUUUAAAAUCUGAAAGGAGAAACAGAAAUAGGACACCCAUGCAUUGGGUGUGAGUGACUGAGUGCUAACGAUGUUAAACAACCAAUGAUUGUAAAGGGAUGAGUAUUAGUGUAUUACAUUGUUGCAUUGUAUAAUAGAGAUAUUUUAAUAUAAAUGAUGCUUAAUGUUUCUUAUGAA